AAAGAAAAGGCAUGAUUUACACAAGGUUAUUUGCAAACAAAAAGUGUAAAUUCUAGUGAUUCUAUUUAGGAUAUCCAAGUGGAAUUAAUACUAAGUUUGUGUAUGUCUAAUCCUAAAUUUAUUAAUUUAAAUGGAAUAACCAAAUAAUAAUAGAGUUGGAAGGAAUGUUGGAGGUCUUCUAGUCCAACCCCUAUUCAAGCAGGAGACCCUCUUAUCACCAAUGUACACAAGCAGAUUGAUCCCUUAGGAUAGGUUUGCAUGCAAUUUAAUUUGCUCUCCAUAUUCCAUUUCCACUGUUUAUAGCACCUGGCCUCUGAGGAAAACAGAAGGAAUUUCUCUGAUUAAAUAAGACAAAGUGACAAGAGAUAUAUGUGGAAGACAGAGACUUCAAACAGUAAAUAGAGAAGAAAGUAAUAAAUUUAAAAGUUUUUUUCGCCUUCUCAAACAGAAAACAAUGCCUAAUAUAUAUUGCAAUGGGUCUAAAUGUGACAGGUUGAAAUAAUUUUGGUUUAAAAUUUAUUGGUUUUUCCAGACAAUUGGUUGGAUUCAAAGUUUUCAAAGCUGUGCCAUUAAAAUCAGUGAGAUCUGUUAGAUUCAAUCCUGUUGAUUUCAUGGGGACAUAUCUAUUUUAAGGUCUAUGCUAAACACAGUCAAGUCUGCUUCCAACCCUUGACUUUAGAAAGCAGACUAUUAAGCUGCUCACAAUGUUGAAGCACUUAGUGGAGCUUCUAUACCACAUCCAAUCCACAUCCAAAGAGCUAUGGUUUCCAUGCAAAAAAAAAAAAAAAAAAAAAAGACAAAUAGACAGCUUUAGUGAUUCAUUUGGUAGCUUCCUAGAGAGAUUUGUUUGACAUGGGUAUAGGUCAUAAAAGAUAGAGGAGCAGGUGAACUUUGAUAGGAGGAUAAGAAAUGCGGGUCAUCUCCUUCAGAAUGGAAUGGCUUUAUGACUUCAUCCCUGCAGACUAAAGUGUCAGUUACUUUCAGUUAUCAGUUAUCAGAGUGAAGAUGCCUUCCUAGAGGUGAGCUGCUCUUCAGCAGAGCUCCUGGACUCUGGGGAAGCUUUCCUCAUUUGGAGCCAACUCUUAGAGAGAGAUCCAGGAUGGCACAGUGAUUAAGAUGCUGGAAUAAAUGGUGAGACCCUGGUUAUGAAAUCAGAACCCCCGCCGGCUUCUUCACAUUACCAGCAUAGAAAUCAAUUUGAUUUGCUACUAGACUGCUGGUGUUUCCAACCAACUGCAAUAUCAUUACUGUAAGAAAACUCUGUAAGAGAAAAAAGAAAACAGAAUAGUUGCCAAAAUGAAGUGUAUGAUUUUCUUAGAGUUGGAAAAUUAUAGUAUUUUAGUCACCCAGAGGCACAAAGCUUAUUUUAUUUCAUUUUCUGCUAUUAUCAACCAAUUAUCAAACUGAUGUGGCCUUUGUCAAGAUGCAACAGCCUCAAGCUGAAUAUUAAAUUAGGAAGUAAAAGAUGAAAAUUAAAAAUCUCUAGAGAAAUUAGAAAAUUGCCUCAAGGGUAGAGGGCACUAUGUAACUGCUUAAAAGAAAUUUUAAAAAUGUUAUCAGGGAUCAGGAAAAAAAUAAAAAAACAGAAGAAAGUAGAAAUGUCUAAUUUCAUAGCAUGCCAAAUUGCUAUGAUGGCAGAAAGAUAUUGUUUCUGAUUCUCUUCUACAUUUACUUUUUCAGCAGAAUCCAACAUUUCUUCUAUAUUUAAAAUAACUUAUCUUAAAAUAAGACAUUUGUAGCACAACUAUGUCAUUGCUGAGAAUUAAACUGUUUUGAAAGGGAGGCAAGUAGCAGCAGGAAAAUCACACACCGAUUUUGGGACAGUGAAUUUCUAGAAAUAUUACUAGAUAUUUGCCAUUGUACUGUUAAUCUAAAUGCAAUAAUUGAAACAAAGUCACCUCUGUAUUUUUCUUUUACUGCUUUAAACUACUAAGUCUUUUUGAAAUAUCUGUCUUUUUGAAAUCACUCUUUUAUUUAGGUUGGUCAUAAACAUAUAUAUUUUAAGUAUAAACUGAUUUCUAAUUAAUAACAGCCAAAUUCUAGUUAAUGUCACGAUGGCAAAGCUGAAUCAAAAGAAAUUAGACAGCUUUCAUACCUAAGUGACCAUCUCCUGGUUUCUAGUCCAGCAUCUUAGCCACUCCACAAAACUGGCUUUGUAGUUCGUUGCUUCAUGAAUGUCAUUAUGUUUUUAAUCAUAUCAUCACUAAGGAUGUUCAGAGAUGGAGGCAAGCAGGGCAAAUGACCAAACACCUGUCAUAGUUCCGACAGAUGAAACUCUUCAAAGAACUUUGAGGCAUUGUUUACCUUAAAGAAUCUUUAUGGGAGUAGCAUAGCUUCGGCACUAACAUAGUUGAA